rnacentral:snRNA from 1 species
CGACUUCCCUGGCAGGGAAGAUACCAUGAUCACGAAGGUGGUUUUCCCAGGGCGAGGCUUAUACAUUGCACUCCGGAUGUGCUGACCCCUGUGAUUCCCCAAANN